AUCCAAGAUGGCGGCCAGCAGGAGGCUGAUGAAGGAGCUUGAAGAAAUCCGCAAAUGUGGGAUGAAAAACUUCCGUAACAUCCAGGUUGAUGAAGCUAAUUUAUUGACUUGGCAAGGGCUUAUUGUUCCUGGCAACCCUGCAUAUGAUAAGGGGGCCUUCAGAAUCGAAAUCAACUUUCCAGCAGAGUACCCAUUCAAACCACGGAAGAUCACAUUUAAAACAAAGAUCUAUCACCCGAACAUCGACGAAAAGGGGCAGGUCUGUCUGCCAGUAAUUAGCGCUGAAAACUGGAAGCCAGCAACCAAAACCGACCAAGUAAUCCAGUCCCUCAUAGCACUGGUGAAUGACCCCCAGCCCGAG